rnacentral:rRNA from 1 species
UACGUAGGGUGCAAGCGUUAAUCGGAAUUACUGGGCGGAAAGCGUGCGCAGGCGGUUGUGUAAGUCUGUCGUGAAAUCCCCGGGCUCAACCUGGGAAUUGCGAUGGAGACUGCACGGCUAGAGUGUGUCAGAGGGGGGUAGAAUUCCACGUGUAGCAGUGAAAUGCGUAGAUAUGUGGAGGAACACCGAUGGCGAAGGCAGCCCCCUGGGAUAACACUGACGCUCAUGCACGAAAGCGUGGGGAGCAAACAGG